UUUUUAUGUCGUAACCAAGGUUUCCGUAGGUGAACCUGCGGAAGGAUCAUUAUCGAAACAUGUCUUCUCGACUCGCUGUCGCUGGCUCCUCGGGGCAUGUGCACGCCUGUUCGGGACUUCAUUUCCAUCCACCCGUGCACCUUUGUAGUCUUUUCGGAUCGAGACGUCGGUGGCCAGGAUGUCCCCCCGGGACAGAGGGGAUCUGCAGCUCGCCGCUGCUGUCCUCGACCUGACACAUCCUCGACCGGGGAGUCUAUGUUUUUCACAUACACCGUAACGCGUAAACGAAUGUCCUCACAUGGGCCCCUGGCCUAUGAUAAAACCUAUACAACUUUCAGCAACGGAUCUCUUGGCUCUCGCAUCGAUGAAGAACGCAGCGAAAUGCGAUAAGUAAUGUGAAUUGCAGAAUUCAGUGAAUCAUCGAAUCUUUGAACGCACCUUGCGCUCCUUGGUAUUCCGAGGAGCAUGCCUGUUUGAGUGUCAUUAAAUUCUCAACCCCGACCUCGUUCGUGGGCUUGGAUUGUGGAGGCCGUGCCGGAAGACGUCCGUCUGUCUUUCGGCUCCUCUGAAAUGCAUUAGCGGAACGGUUUGCGAUCUGCCACAGGUGUGAUAACCGUCUACACCGACCGAGGGUGAUCGCUCUCCGGAGUUCGGCUUCCAAUCGUCUUUGCGACAAACCAUGAUGAACGCUUGACCUCAAAUCAGGUAGGACUACCCGCUGAACUUAAGCAUAUCAAUAAGCGGAGGAAAAGAAACUAACGAGGAUUCCCCUAGUAACUGCGAGUGAAGCGGGAAA
rnacentral:rRNA from 1 species